rnacentral:rRNA from 1 species
UACAGAGGGUGCUAACGUUGUUCGGAAUCACUGGGCCUAAAGCGCACGUAGGCGGCUUGGUAAGUGCGGUGUGAAAGCCCCCGGCCUAACCGGGGAACUGCAUCGCAGACUGCCAGGCUCGAGAGCGGGAGGGGAGACUGGAACUCCUGGUGGAGCGGUGAAAUGCGUAGAUAUUGGGAGGAACACCAGUGGCGAAGGCGGCUCACUGGACCGGAACUGACGCUGAGGCGCGAAAGCCAGGGGAGCAAACGGG